UGGGCAACCUGCCCUCAGCUCUGGGAUAACUCCAAGAAAUUGGGGCUAAUACUGGAUAUGACCGCUGACCGCAUGGUCUGGUGGUGGAAAGAUUUAUCGGCUGGGGAUGGGCCCGCGGCCUAUCAGCUUGUUGGUGGGGUAGUGGCCUACCAAGGCGACGACGGGUAGCCGGCCUGAGAGGGUGACCGGCCACACUGGGACUGAGACACGGCCCAGACUCCUACGGGAG
rnacentral:rRNA from 1 species